rnacentral:lncRNA from 1 species
GCAACUUACUGUGGAGAAAGAGCAGACCAGAUCCAGAUCUCUAUUCACUGCUUAUGCUACAAGGCCAGUCCUAAGUCACCUUGCGUUGGAAAUCUUAAUGAUAGUGAAGGUCUCAACAGAAAACAUAUUCCAAGAAAAAAGAGGUCUGCUCUUAAGGACAUGGAGAGCUACUUGUUGAAGAUGCAGCAGAAGUUGCAAAAUGAUCUAACUGCAGAAGUAGCAGCUGCUACUAAAUAUGAACCUGGAUCCUAUAUAGCUUCUCCUCUAGGAUUUACACACAAGGAAAAUCUGAAUCAAGAUCCAGUUUUGGAAGUAACAAAAGAUGCUGGGAUUACAAGCGUGAGCUACCACACCCAGCGAGGAAGCCAAGUUUAACGUGUGUGCUCCACUCCUCCAACCUGGCCAAAGGGCAGUCAUCAUCACUGGCCACUGCUGACCACAGCCUUUAGAAACUCCCCUUGAACGUGCUGGGCUGACCUUCCUCU